GACGAACGCUGGCGGCGUGCUUAACACAUGCAAGUCGUACGGUAAGGCCCUUUCGGGGGUACACGAGUGGCGAACGGGUGAGUAACACGUGAGUAACCUGCCCACAACUUUGGGAUAACGCUAGGAAACUGGUGCUAAUACUGGAUAUGUGCUCCUGCUGCAUGGUGGGGGUUGGAAAGCUCCGGCGGUUGUGGAUGGACUCGCGGCCUAUCAGCUUGUUGGUGGGGUAGUGGCCUACCAAGGCGGCGACGGGUAGCCGGCCUGAGAGGGUGACCGGCCACAUUGGGACUGAGAUACGGCCCAGACUCCUACGGGAGGCAGCAGUGGGGAAUAUUGCACAAUGGGCGCAAGCCUGAUGCAGCAACGCCGCGUGCGGGAUGACGGCCUUCGGGUUGUAAACCGCUUUCAGCAGGGACGAAGCUUUUUGUGACGGUACCUGCAGAAGAAGCACCGGCUAACUA
rnacentral:rRNA from 1 species